rnacentral:rRNA from 1 species
UACAGAGGUCUCAAGCGUUGUUCGGAUUCAUUGGGCGUAAAGGGUGCGUAGGCGGCGCGAUAAGUCGGGUGUGAAAUCUCGGAGCUUAACUCCGAAACUGCAUUCGAUACUGCCGUGCUUGAGGACUGGAGAGGAGACUGGAAUUUACGGUGUAGCGGUGAAAUGCGUAGAUAUCGUAAGGAAGACCAGUGGCGAAGGCGGGUCUCUGGACAGUUCCUGACGCUGAGCACG